rnacentral:lncRNA from 1 species
GCACAGCCGUGACCACCUUUCGGUGGGCCUCCCGCCUUGGAUACUGCAUGCCCUGGGUCCCCGACCCUUGGGACCCAAGCGCUCGGACAGCCCAGACACCUUUCCGAGGUGCCCCAGGCCCUGGUGCACCAGCGCUGUCUCAAAUCUCACAGAUGCUUGAUCAUAGCCGAGUCGUCUGUCACACAACAGCAGACGGCUCAGAUGGCCUCCCUGCUCACUCUGCCUCCUGCCACCCUCAGCUGCCUCGCAAACUAGCUGUGCUGUGACUCCUGCACCCUGUCUCGUUCACAGGUCAUCCCACGCCCCCGUGGCAAGGGGAGGCUUGGCCAAGGACCAAGGUGCAAAGACAGCAGCUUGUAGCCCCGCUGGCUUGGACCACGAGUCCACCAGCCUCCGAGAACUUUCUGGAUUUCAGCUUUGGAAAGUUCCUUCUGCUUCUGAACUUCCUCUUGAGAAAAGAAAAGCAAACGUUCAGGAUGAGGAGGCAACCGAAACGAUGGGUGCCAGAGACAGCCCAAGGAAUGAGGCGAGGGACUCGAGCGCCAGGAGAGGCGGGCAGUGGGUGUGAGCCUCGGAGGGUGAUGGGUCCCUCCACCCGCGAUCUUCUAGGCCGGAUGCAAAGCCCAGGAAACAGCUGUUUCCUCCACAUCAGAUCCGCAGGGAACUGGAGCCUGGGCCACAGGUCCCUGAAGAGGCGGCGCCCAACACCCUAGAGCCUAGGGUGAGGCCUGGGAGCCGGUAUGGCGAGCUCCAGGCUGUGUGUCGUGCUUCAUGGUGGUCCUGGAGGGACUGCAAGGGCCAGGCGGUCACCUGCCACCGGCUGACACUCAGCCUAAGACAGAUCCCCACAGUAGCACCUCCAGGAGCCCAAGCUUUUGGGAGGCCAGAUGAGGCCUGGUGUUCCUGUCCUGCCAGACACCUACAGAGGCUGCUGCUAGACAUGGCCGCACGGGGAGGGCAGGGUGGAGUGGGGUAGGCCACGGUGGGACCGACUCUGCUCCCACCACAGCCCCACUGCUAGCUCAGCAUCUGCACAACUUUGGGGCCUGACAAGCGCUGGCUCUGUGGGAGCCUCCAGCCUCACUACCACCAGCUUCCCCGCAACUCGCCUCAGUGCUUCCACGGCUGGGCCCAUGUUGAAGGGACUUGUGUGUUAGGAAAAGGGGCCUCAGGAGGGUGGGGUCCUAGGCAGGGUGCAGGGCAGGGCCAGGGUGGGGCAUAGGCAGCCCCUCGUGGAGGCACGUGGCCUCGGCGGCCCGGGCACUCACCCAUGGCCUGGUACACAACCUCUUCGAACCUGUCCAUGAUCUUCCUGUGGGAGGAGAACAGACACACAGCCAUUGCCUCGGGUGCCCAGCGGUCCCAGGCCAGGUGGGGAUGGGGACGGGGACAGGGAUGGCGAGGGGGAUGGGGACGGGGAGGACGGGGGAUGGGGACGGGGAGGACGGGGGAUGGGGAUGGGGACNGGGAUGGCGAGCGGGAUGGGGACGGGGAGGACAGGGGAUGGGGCCUCCUUACCCCAGUUCCAGGUUCUUCCCGUGGAGCUCCUCACACCUGCUCCUCAGCUCCCGGUUCUCCUCCUGUGUCGCCUUUACCUGCUCAGGCCACACCCCAAGUCAGCAGGCAGGCGGGCCAGACUGACCCUCCCAGGACCUCCCCACAGGAUGGGGGCAGCCCCCACCCGAGGUCCCUGGAGCGACGUCCCAGAGGCACAGUUCCAUGUGGGGCUUCCAGUGGG